UGCGAAACCUUUGAGGGGAUCAUAGAACCUUUGAACCAAGCAGAUAACAGUACUCUUUCCACAUCCGCUGCUGCCGACUAAAGCAACCGUCUUUCCUGCUGGAAUCGACAAUGAAAAUCCUUGAAUGAUUGACUUUUCGGGACGAGAAGGCUUGAAAACCUCAUACCCUGCAGCCUUUGCCUGAUUGAAGAUUUGUAUGUCUGGUGCAGCAAAAGUAAGUGAUCUGCAAGAGAAUCCUGUAUUACAUACAUGUUGAAAGUGGGAUGAAUCAUUUUAUUCACCUCGAGGAUGAGGUCUUUUUCUUACACGGAUCCAAAGAGAAUGCUCAUCACCGCAGCUAUGACAUCCCCUCCUUUUGCUUUCCGGGAAGUGACGGCAACGGCUCCAAUCCAUAUGAUCAGUGCCCAAGCACAAAAGAAUUCUCUCCAACAAAAGCAAAUACUGUUUUGAUUUGAGAGAUGGUCUGCAGCAUGUAAACCUCAGAUGUUUAUUACUGAGGUGGCUCCGAUCACUAGAAUCGUAGGAGCAACCACGAAGGUAAGUAGGGACACUUCCCAACAGCAUAUAGCAGCAAUAAGGAUUCCAGAAAAGAAUGUUGCAAAGCUUGAAAGAAAAUGGCCUAGCUGGGAACCAUAAGUUAUGUUAGCAGUAUGUCAACAUUUCGGAACAUGAAAAUAAGCUAAAGCAAGGUGAAUCGAAUCGAAUGAAUAAUCUAUCUACCUUCUCCCCUAUUGCAUCUUGUAUGAUACUCAUGUGGUAACUCAUUCCACUAAUGAUUUUCCCACUCGUUA